rnacentral:rRNA from 1 species
GACGAACGCUGGCGGCGUGCCUAACACAUGCAAGUCGAACGGAGAUAUGAUUUCGGUUGUAUCUUAGUGGCGAACGGGUGAGUAACGCGUGAGCAACCUGACUCUUAGAGGGGGAUAACACCCGGAAACGAGUGCUAAUACCGCAUAAGACCACGACAUGGCAUCAUGACGAGGUCAAAGGAGCAAUCCGCUGAGAGAGGGGCUCGCGUCCCAUUAGAUAGAUGGCGGGGUAAUGGCCCACCAUGUCAGCGAUGGGUAGCCGAGCUGAGAGGCUGAUCGGCCACACUGGAACUGAGACACGGUCCAGACUCCUACGGGAGGCAGCAGUGGGGAAUAUUGGGCAAUGGGCGCAAGCCUGACCCAGCAACGCCGCGUGAGGGAAGAAGGCUUUCGGGUUGUAAACCUCUGUCCUUGGUGACGAAAAAAUGACGGUAGCCAAGGAGGAAGCCCCGGGCUAACUAACGUG